GAUAAUCGCUAGCGGCAGGCUUAACACAUGCAAGUCGAGGGGCAGCAUAGAUUGUAGCAAUACAAUUGGUGGCGACCGGCGCACGGGUGCGUAACGCGUAUGCAACCUACCCGUCACAGGGGGAUAAUCCGGAGAAAUCUGGUCUAAUACCCCAUAACAUAUGGAUCGGCAUCGGUUCAUGUUGAAAUUUUCGGAGGUGACGGAUGGGCAUGCGUAGCAUUAGCUUGUUGGUGAGGUAACGGCUCACCAAGGCGACGAUGCUUAGGGGGACUGAGAGGUUUUCCCCCCACACUGGUACUGAGACACGGACCAGACUCCUACGGGAGGCAGCAGUGAGGAGUAUUGGUCAAUGGGCGCAAGCCUGAACCAGCCAUGCCGCGUGCAGGAUGACGGCUCUAUGAGUUGUAAACUGCUUUUGUACGAGGGUAAAGUGGGUUACGUGUAACCUUUUGAAAGUAUCGUACGAAUAAGGAUCGGCUAACUCCGUGCCAGCAGCCGCCGUAA
rnacentral:rRNA from 1 species